UAGGGAAUCUUCGGCAAUGGGGGGAACCCUGACCGAGCAACGCCGCGUGAGUGAAGAAGGUUUUCGGAUCGUAAAGCUCUGUUGUUAAGGAAGAACGAGUGUGAGAAUGGAAAGUUCAUACUGUGACGGUACUUAACCAGAAAGGGACGGCUAACUACGUGCCAGCAGCCGCGGUAAUACGUAGGUCCCGAGCGUUGUCCGGAUUUAUUGGGCGUAAAGCGAGCGCAGGCGGUUAGAUAAGUCUGAAGUUAAAGGCAGUGGCUCAACCAUUGUAGGCUUUGGAAACUGUUUAACUUGAGUGCAGAAGGGGAGAGUGGAAUUCCAUGUGUAGCGGUGAAAUGCGUAGAUAUAUGGAGGAACACCGGUGGCGAAAGCGGCUCUCUGGUCUGUAACUGACGCUGAGGCUCGAAAGCGUGGGGAGCGAACAGGAUCAGAUACCCUGGUAGUCCACGCCGUAAACGAUGAGUGCUAGGUGUUAGGUCCUUUCCGGGACUUAGUGCCGCAGCUAACGCAUUAAGCACUCCGCCUGGGGAGUACGACCGCAAGGUUG
rnacentral:rRNA from 1 species